GACACAUUUCUUCUUACUGGUGGAAACUCUGCACAGUCCUGAGGCAGCACAGGGCAACACACG
rnacentral:lncRNA from 1 species